AAGGUUUCCGUAGGUGAACCUGCGGAAGGAUCAUUAACGAACACGAACAAAGCCCCCCUCGGCUGAUGCUGGCCCCUUGGGGCACGUGCACGCCUUGGGCGCGCCUUUCGAUUCGCCUUCAACCCCCCCUUGUGCACUCCAUGUAGGUCGUCGACGGCGGCGGUUUCCCCCUCCGCCCCGGCGCCUACGAUUUCGUCUUUGUACGCAAACACCCCGAUCGCAUGUACAAGUGUACGCUUCUUUUAAUGUGAUAACACAAAAUACAACUUUCAACAACGGAUCUCUUGGCUCUCGCAUCGAUGAAGAACGCAGCGAAAUGCGAUAAGUAAUGUGAAUUGCAGAAUUCAGUGAAUCAUCGAAUCUUUGAACGCACCUUGCGCCCUUUGGCCAUUCCAAAGAGCAUGCCUGUUUGAGUGUCAUUGAAACCCUCAAGGCCCCCCCUUCUGCCCCCUCGCGGGCUUUCGGGGGAGGACCUUGGACUUGGGAGCGCUGCGGGGCCCUCGAGCGAACACGCUCGGGGCUCCGCUCUCCUGAAACGCAUCAGUAGGGCCCCAUCGUCCUUUCGGGUCUUCGCGGCGUUGAUAGUCGUCUACGCCUCGCCCCGUCGGGAACCUUUCCAAGCCCUGCUCCCCAACGCGCCUUUUCUUCCGUCCUCCUCCGGGAGAAGGGAAACAGAAAAGAAAAGGAAAAAGAGAACGCUUUGACCUCAAAUCAGGUAGGACUACCCGCUGAACUUAAGC
rnacentral:rRNA from 1 species